GCGAGCCUCAUUCUUGCUAUUUAUUUGGAAUUUCAAAAUUAUUCACUCGCUUUGCGUUGUAAGUUAGUGUCGACAAUAUUUGCGCAUGUGUGUUUCUUAAAGGUUGUAUCUGCUCUGGCAAUUCAGUAUGUAAAUUGGGAAAUAAUCAAGCAAAUCUUAAAGUCGUCGCAAAUUUUUUGUUAAAUAACAGCUCACAUUGUUAUUAUAACUUGCUGCCGACAGUUCAUAAAAUCCUCACUAACACAAGACCACUUCAUAUUAUGAAUAAUGUAUACAUUUAGUUACAUAAAUGUCAUUUCCUCUUAUACAAGAGCAUACUUGCCUGCUGAACAACUCAGCAUGAUGGAUUCAUUGUCUGGAUUUAGUCUAGAUUUAGCGCGUGGUUGGCAUCAAUGUUGCUGGUAGAUUUAUGCGCUCAACUGAAAAUCAAUGGAUUGCAAACUGUCAGAUACAAAAUAGAUGUAGAAAUAAAUUAAGAAAAAAAAUUUGAUAUCAAAAAUAUAUUUUUACCACACUGAUGUUGCAACAUUGAAAAUGUGACGCAUUAUAAAUAUCACAGACACAGUUUAUGCAGUCACAGUCAAAAGAACUGGCAUCAGAUACAAUUUAUAUAACCAUCUGAUCACCGCUAAUCUAUUUCUAUAGUAUAUAUCUCCAUGCAGACGUGGAAUCAUGUGUAAAUAAAAUGCAAACAAAGAAUAUCGUUGACUAGCAGAGAAAACGCAUUCGUUAUAGAUACAAUCACAGAACUACAAAUUUAAGACAAAAUCCAUGAAAUUAUCUAAAAUACACAACAAACAUCCAAGAUUUACAAUAAAUGCAUUUAGCUGAAAUUUAUUAUGCAGAUUACGCAAUGAAUUAAAAAGAUAUUCUUGAACGAAAGUGAAUAAAUUCUUUUAAAAUUGA